ACGCGAGCUGGGUUCAGAACGUCGUGAGACAGUUCGGUCCCUAUCCGUCGCAGGCGUAGGAAAUUUGAGAAGACCUGUCCUUAGUACGAGAGGACCGGGAUGGACGUACCUCUGGUGUACCAGUUGUCCUGCCAAGGGCAUGGCUGGGUAGCUAUGUAUGGAAUGGAUAAGCGCUGAAAGCAUCUAAGCGCGAAGCCAACUUCAAGAUAAGAUUUCCCACCGCAAGGGUAAGACCCCAGAAAGACUAUCUGGUUG
rnacentral:rRNA from 1 species